rnacentral:rRNA from 1 species
AUUGAACGCUGGCGGCAGGCUUAACACAUGCAAGUCGCGCGAGCGGCGGACGGGUGAGUAAUGUCUGGGAAACUGCCUGAUGGAGGGGGAUAACUACUGGAAACGGUAGCUAAUACCGCAUACCAUCAGAUGUGCCCAGAUGGGAUUAGCUAGUAGGUGGGGUAAUGGCUAACCUAGGCGACGAUCCCUAGCUGGUCUGAGAGGAUGACCAGCCACACGGGAGCGGAGACACGUUCAAGAAUACUACGGGAGGCAGCAGUAGAGAAUAUUGCAAAAUGGGCGAAAGCCUGAUGCAGCAAUGCCGCGUGAGGGAAGAAGUCCUUCGGGUUGUAAAGCACUUUCAGCGGGGAGGCGUUACCCGCAGAAGAAGCACCGGCUAACUCCGUACCAGCAGCCGCGGUAAUAC